rnacentral:rRNA from 1 species
UACGGGGGGGGUAAGCGUUGUUCGGAAUUACUGGGCGUAAAGGGCUCGUAGGCGGCCAACUAAGUCGGAUGUGAAAUCCCCAGGCUUAACCUGGGAACUGCAUCCGAUACUGGAUGGCUUGAAUCCGGGAGAGGGAUGCGGUAUUCCAGGUGUAGCGGUGAAAUGCGUAGAUAUCUGGAGGAACACCGGUGGCGAAGGCGGCAUCCUGGACCGGCAUUGACGCUGAGGAGCGAAAGCCAGGGGAGCAAACGGG